GCUGACGAGUGGCGAACGGGUGAGUAAUGCAUCGGAACGUGCCAAGUCGUGGGGGAUAACGUAGCGAAAGUUACGCUAAUACCGCAUAAGCCCUGAGGGGGAAAGCAGGGGAUCGCAAGACCUUGCGCGAAUGGAGCGGCCGAUGUCAGAUUAGCUAGUUGGUGGGGUAAAGGCCUACCAAGGCGACGAUCUGUAGCGGGUCUGAGAGGAUGAUCCGCCACACUGGGGACUGAGACACGGCCCCAGACUCCUACGGGAGGCAGCAGUGGGGAAUUUUGGACAAUGGGCGCAAGCCUGAUCCAGCCAUGCCGCGUGCGGGACGAAGGCCUUCGGGUUGUAAACCGCUUUCAGCCGGAAAGAAAUCGCCAAGGCUAAUAUCCUUGGUGGAUGACGGUACCGGAAGAAGAAGCACCGGCUAACUACGUGCCAGCAGCCGCGGUAAUACGUAGGGUGCGAGCGUUAAUCGGAAUUACUGGGCGUAAAGGGUG
rnacentral:rRNA from 1 species